rfam:Stegodyphus mimosarum contig15861, whole genome shotgun sequence.
GCCUUCGUGGUGUAGUGGUCAGCACGCUCGACGCGUACUUGAGAGGUCCGUGGUUCGAGUCCCGGCGAGGGCA